rnacentral:rRNA from 1 species
AAUGAAUUGACGGGGGCCCGCACAAGCGGUGGAGCAUGUGGUUUAAUUCGAUGCAACGCGAAGAACCUUACCUGGUCUUGACAUCCACGGAAGUUUUCAGAGAUGAGAAUGUGCCUUCGGGAACCGUGAGACAGGUGCUGCAUGGCUGUCGUCAGCUCGUGUUGUGAAAUGUUGGGUUAAGUCCCGCAACGAGCGCAACCCUUAUCCUUUGUU